rnacentral:rRNA from 1 species
UAAGGAAUAUUGGACAAUGGGCGCAAGCCUGAUCCAGCCAUGCCGCGUGAAGGAUGAAGGCGCUAUGCGUCGUAAACUUCUUUUGUACGGGAAAAAUAUCCCGCUUUCCAGCGGGAUUGAUUGUACUGUAAGAAUAAGGGUCGGCUAACUUCGUGCCAGCAGCCGCGGUAAUACGAAGGACCCGAGCGUUAUCCGGAUUCAUUGGGUUUAAAGGGUGCGUAGGCGGACCUAUAAGUCAGUGGUGAAAGCCCAACGCUCAACGUUGGAAUUGCCAUUGAUACUGCAGGUCUUGAGUAUAGUUGAGGUUGGCGGAAUGUGUCAUGUAGCGGUGAAAUGCUUAGAUAUGACCCAGAACACCGAUUGCGAAGGCAGCUAGCUAAACUAUAACUGACGCUGAGGCACGAAAGCGUGGGUAGCAAACAG